UCCGUUAGAUUGAACAGCAUAAAUAGAUCCGAGUUACACGCUACGGUCAAUAGUCAUAUAAUCUCUUAAAUCAAUUAUAUUGGGUCAGAAUCAUAAAAGCAUUAAGAACAAGAUAUACUGAAUAAACUAGAUUGACAUUCAUAAACGUAAGAGUUUCAGGUUACAUCCACAUGAGCUAGUACAGAAUCAUCUCUUGACCUAA
rnacentral:lncRNA from 1 species